rnacentral:rRNA from 1 species
AUUGAACGCUGGCGGCAGGCCUAACACAUGCAAGUCGAACGAGUGGCGGACGGGUGAGUAAUGUCUGGGAAACUGCCUGAUGGAGGGGGAGAACUACUGGAAACGGUAGCUAAUACCGCCUACCAUCAGCUGUGCCCAGAUGGGAUUAGCUUGUUGGUGGGGUAACGGCGCACCAAGGCGACGAUCCCUAACUGGUCUGAGAGGAUGACCAGCCACACUGGAACUGAGACACGGUCCAGACUCAUACGGGAGGCAGCAGUGGGGAAUAUUGCACAAUGGGCGCAAGCCUGAUGCAGCCAUGCCGCGUGUAUGAAGAAGGCCUUCGGGUUGUAAAGUACUUGCAGCGGGGAGGCGUUACCCGCAGAAGAAGCACCGGCUAACUCCGUGCCAGCCGCCGCGGUAAUAC